GUAGGUGGCAAGCGUUGUCCGGAAUUAUUGGGCGUAAAGCGCGCGCAGGGCGGUCCUUUAAGUCUGAUGUGAAAGCCCACGGCUCAACCGUGGAGGGUCAUUGGAAACUGGGGGACUUGAGUACAGAAGAGGAAGGCGGAAUUCCAAGUGUAGCGGUGAAAUGCGUAGAGAUUUGGAGGAACACCAGUGGCGAAGGCGGCUUUCUGGUCUGUAACUGACGCUGAGGCGCGAAAGCGUGGGGAGCAAACAGGAUUAGAUACCCUGGUAGUCCACGCCGUAAACGAUGAGUGCUAAGUGUUAGGGGGUUUCCGCCCCUUAGUGCUGCAGCUAACGCAUUAAGCACUCCGCCUGGGGAGUACGGCCGCAAGGCUG
rnacentral:rRNA from 1 species